rnacentral:rRNA from 1 species
ACACGCAUGACACACUGCAUAUCAAUAAGCGGAGGAAAAGAAACUAACUAGGAUUCCCUUAGUAACGGCGAGUGAAGCGGGAAGAGCUCAAAUUUGAAAUCUUCAAGGUUUUACCUUGACGAAUUGUAGUUUAAAGAAGUGUUUUCUGUUGGAGUUUUGGUAAAAGUUCUUUGGAAUAGGACAUCAUAGGGGGUGAGAAUCCCGUAUUUGACCAUUAUUUCCAGCUGUGUGAUACACUUUCAAAGAGUCGGAUUGUUUGGGAAUGCAGUCCAAAAUGGGUGGUAAAUUUCAUCUAAAGCUAAAUAUUGGCGAGAGGACCGAUAGCGAACAAGUACCGUGAGGGAAAGAUGAAAAGAACUUUGAAAAGAGAGUUAAACAGUACGUGAAAUUGUCAAAAGGGAAGCGUUUGACACCAGUGUUGUUUUCCUCGAAAAUCAAUUAAAAAUGAUGGGAUUUUGUGUUGUAUUGACUUUAUCAGCUUUCUGCACUUUUUUCUUAUCUUUUUUAAUGCACUUUUCGUUUAACAAGUCAACAUCAAUUUCUUUUGUUGUAAAAGAGUCAUUGGAAGGUGGCUUUUUCUUCGGAAAAAGUGUUUAUAGCCUUUGGCUUCUGCAAUCGGAGAGAUUGAGGUCUGCAGCGUAGAUCCUUCGGGGUUAGAUACAUUUGUGCUAAGCUAUAGUUCUUUAUAGACAACUUGUUGACUAUAAUCAAUCCUGUAACUUACUCGCUUAUGCUAUUUUACCUACGCUUAGGAUGUUGAAGACUCUACAGAGAU